AUAGCGUAUAUUAAAGUUGUUGCAGUUAAAAAGCUCGUAGUUGAACCUUGGGUCUGGCUGGCCGGUCCGCCUCACCGCGUGCACUGGUCCGGCUGGACCUUUCCUUCUGGGGAGCCCCAUGGCCUUUACUGGCUGUGGGGGGAACCAGGACUUUUACUUUGAAAAAAUUAGAGUGUUCAAAGCAGGCCUUUGCUCGGAUACAUUAGCAUGGAAUAAUAGAAUAGGACGUGCGGUUCUAUUUUGUUGGUUUCUAGGACCACCGUAAUGAUUAAUAGGGAUGGUCGGGGGCGUCAGUAUUCGGCUGUCAGAGGUGAAAUUCUUGGAUUUGCUGAAGACUAACUACUG
rnacentral:rRNA from 1 species